UAGGGAAUAUUGGACAAUGGGCGCAAGCCUGAUCCAGCCAUGCCGCGUGAGUGACGAAGGCCUUAGGGUUGUAAAGCUCUUUUGGCGGGGAAGAUAAUGACGGUACCCGCAGAAUAAGCUCCGGCUAACUUCGUGCCAGCAGCCGCGGUAAUACGAAGGGAGCUAGCGUUGUUCGGAAUCACUGGGCGUAAAGCGCACGUAGGCGGAUGUGUCAGUCAGGGGUGAAAUCCCGGAGCUCAACUUCGGAACUGCCCUUGAUACAGCACGUCUUGAGUCCGAUAGAGGUGGGUGGAAUUCCUAGUGUAGAGGUGAAAUUCGUAGAUAUUAGGAAGAACACCGGUGGCGAAGGCGGCCCACUGGAUCGGUACUGACGCUGAGGUGCGAAAGCGUGGGGAGCAAACAGGAUUAGAUACCCCUGUAGUCCCUGAGCGGGCUGGCAAGGCGCAU
rnacentral:rRNA from 1 species